GCUUAGAGUUUGAUCCUGGCUCAGGAUGAACGCUGGCGGCGUGCCUAACACAUGCAAGUCGAACGGAAUCUUCGGAUUUAGUGGCGGACGGGUGAGUAACGCGUGAGAAUCUGCCUUUAGGUUCGGGACAACAGUUGGAAACGACUGCUAAUACCGAAUGUGUCACAAGAUGAAAGAUUAAUUGCCUAAAGAUGAGCUCGCGUCCGAUUAGCUAGUUGGUGUGGUAAAAGCGCACCAAGGCGACGAUCGGUAGCUGGUCUGAGAGGAUGAUCAGCCACACUGGGACUGAGACACGGCCCAGACUCCUACGGGAGGCAGCAGUGGGGAAUUUUCCGCAAUGGGCGAAAGCCUGACGGAGCAACGCCGCGUGAGGGAGGAAGGCUUUUGGGUUGUAAACCUCUUUUCUCAAGGAAGAUAAUGACGGUACUUGAGGAAUCAGCAUCGGCUAACUCCGUGCCAGCAGCCGCGGUAAUACGGAGGAUGCAAGCGUUAUCCGGAAUAAUUGGGCGUAAAGCGUUCGUAGGUGGUUUUACAAGUCUGCUGUUAAAGCGUGUAGCUCAACUACAUAAUGGCGGUGGAAACUGUAGAACUAGAGUACGUUCGGGGCAGAGGGAAUUCCUAGUGUAGCGGUGAAAUGCGUAGAGAUUAGGAAGAACACCGGUGGCGAAAGCGCUCUGCUAGGCCGUAACUGACACUGAGGGACGGAAGCUAGGGGAGCGAAUGGGAUUAGAUACCCCAGUAGUC
rnacentral:rRNA from 1 species